GAUGAAGAACGUAGCGAAAUGCGAUAAGUAAUGUGAAUUGCAGAAUUCAGUGAAUCAUCGAAUCUUUGAACGCACAUUGCGCCCUUUGGUAUUCCGAAGGGCAUGCCUGUUCGAGCGUCAUUUCACCACUCAAGCCUGGCUUGGUAUUGAGCGCCGCGGUCGAUCCGCGCGCCUCAAAGUCUCCGGCUGAGCUGUCCGUCUCUAAGCGUUGUGAUUUCAUUAAUCGCUUCGGAGUGCGGGCGGCCGCGGCCGUUAAAUCUUUCACAAGGUUGACCUCGGAUCAGGUAGGGAUACCCGCUGAACUUAAGCAUAUCAAUAAGCGGAGGA
rnacentral:misc_RNA from 1 species